UACGGAGGGAGCUAGCGUUGUUCGGAAUUACUGGGCGUAAAGCGUGCGUAGACGGUUAUGUAAGUCAGAUGUGAAAGCCCCGGGCUCAACCUGGGAAUUGCAUUUGAGACUGCAUAGCUAGGGUGCGGAAGAGGGAAGCGGAAUUUCCGGUGUAGCGGUGAAAUGCGCAGAUAUCGGGAGGAACACCUAUGGCGAAGGCAGCUCGCUGGGACGUUACUGACGCUGAGACGCGAAAGCGUGGGGGAGCAAACAGG
rnacentral:rRNA from 1 species